rnacentral:tRNA from 1 species
GCAUCAAUAGCUCAGUUGGCAGAGCAGGGAACUCUAAAUUCCUUUGUCACGGGUUCGAGUCCCGUUUGAUGCACCA